rnacentral:tRNA from 1 species
GCCCCUAUAGCCCAAUUGGAUAGAGCGCUGGCCUCCGAAGCCAGAAAUACCCGUUCAAAUCGGGUUAGGGGCACCA